rnacentral:rRNA from 1 species
GUGUCAGCAGCCGCGGUAAUACGGAGGGUGCGAGCGUUAUCCGGAAUUACUGGGUUUAAAGGGUGCGUAGGCGGCUAAGUAAGUCAGAAGUGAAAGUUUGCGGCUCAACCGUAAAAUUGCUUUUGAUACUGCUUAGCUGGAAUUAGGAUGAGGUCAGCGGAAUGUGGCAUGUAGCGGUGAAAUGCAUAGAUAUGCCAUAGAACACCAAUUGCGAAGGCAGCUGGCUAGACCUAUAUUGACGCUGAGGCACGAAAGCGUGGGGAGCGAACAGGAUUAGAUACCCGUGUAGUCC